rnacentral:rRNA from 1 species
GAUGAACGCUGGCGGCGUGCCUAAUACAUGCAAGUCGAGCGAACUGAUUAGAAGCUUGCUUCUAUGACGUUAGCGGCGGACGGGUGAGUAACACGUGGGCAACCUGCCUGCAAGACUGGGAUAACUUCGGGAAACCGAAGCUAAUACCGGAUGGGAUCUUCUCCUUCAUGGGAGAUGAUUGAAAGAUGGUUUCGGCUAUCACUUACAGAUGGGCCCGCGGUGCAUUAGCCAGUUGGUGAGGUAACGGCUCACCAAGGCAACGAUGCAUAGCCGACCGGAGAGGGUGAUCGGCCACACUGGGACUGCGACACGGCCCAGACUCCUACGGGAGGCAGCAGUAGGGAAUCUUCCGCAAUGGACGAAAGUCUGACGGAGCAACGCCGCGUGAGUGAUGAAGGCUUUCGGGUCGUAAAACUCUGUUGUUAGGGAAGAACAAGUACAAGAGUAACUGCUUGUACCUUGACGGUACCUAACCAGAAAGCCACGGCUAACUACGUGCCAGCCGCCGCGGUAA